rnacentral:miRNA from 1 species
GGCUAUAUUCUUAAGACGUUGU